rnacentral:rRNA from 1 species
AUUGAACGCUGGCGGCAGGCCUAACACAUGCAAGUCGAGCGGAUGAAGGGAGCUUGCUCCUGGAUUCAGCGGCGGACGGGUGAGGAAUGCCUAGGAAUGUGCCUGGUAGUGGGGGAUAACGUCCGGAAACGGGCGCUAAAACCGCAUACGCCUAGAGGGAGAAAGUGGGGGAGCUUCGGACCUCAUGCUAUCGCAUGAGCCUAGGUCGGAUUAGCGAGUUGGUGGGGUAAAGGCCUACCAUGGCGACGAUCCGUAACUGGACUGAGAGGAUGAUCAGUCACACUGGAACUGUGACACGGUCCAGACUCCUACGGGAGGCAGCAGUGGGGAAUAUUGGACUAUGGGCGAAAGCCUGAUCCAGCCAUGCCGCGUGUUUGAAGAAGGUCUUCGGGUUGUAAAGCACUUUGAGUUGGGAGGAAGGGCAGUAAGUUAAUACCUUGGUGUUUUGACGUUACCCGCAGAAUAAGCACCGGCUAACUUCGUG